rnacentral:tRNA from 1 species
ACUAUUUUGGCAGAUAAUAUGCAUUAAAUUUAGGAUUUAAUUAUAUAGGGGUUCUAUAGGUAGUU